ACAACAUGCCUUUCAGGAUUCACAGUCCAAAAGCACAGAGUGGACAACACAAAAAGCAGCACAAAGAUGUAAUUGAGGAGUUCUGGGCAGUGGGAUUCUGCUUU